UUACCAUGCAAGUCGAACGGGAUCGGCUGGAGCUUGCUCCGGCCGUGAGAGUGGCGAACGGGUGAGUAAUGCGUGACCGACCUGCCCCAUACACCGGAAUAGCUCCUGGAAACGGGUGGUAAUGCCGGAUGCUCCGACAUGACGCAUGUCGUGUCGGGAAAGAUUCAUCGGUAUGGGAUGGGGUCGCGUCCUAUCAGGUAGUCGGCGGGGUAACGGCCCACCGAGCCUACGACGGGUAGCCGGCCUGAGAGGGCGACCGGCCACAUUGGGACUGAGAUACGGCCCAGACUCCUACGGGAGGCAGCAGUGGGGAAUAUUGCACAAUGGGCGCAAGCCUGAUGCAGCGACGCCGCGUGCGGGAUGACGGCCUUCGGGUUGUAAACCGCUUUUGACUGGGAGCAAGCCCUUCGGGGUGAGUGUACCUUUCGAAUAAGCACCGG
rnacentral:rRNA from 1 species